rnacentral:rRNA from 1 species
UGCUUACACAUGNCAGUCGAACGGGCUCUUCGGAGCUAGUGGCGGACGGGUGAGUAACGCGUGAGAAUCUGCCUUCAGGAGGGGGAUAACGACUGGAAACGGUCGCUAAUACCCCAUAUGCCUACGGGUGAAAUGUUUUUCGCCUGAAGAUGAGCUCGCGUCCGAUUAGCUAGUUGGUGAGGUAAGAGCUUACCAAGGCAACGAUCGGUAGCUGGUCUGAGAGGAUGAUCAGCCACACUGGGACUGAGACACGGCCCAGACUCCUACGGGAGGCAGCAGUGGGGAAUUUUCCGCAAUGGGCGCAAGCCUGACGGAGCAAGACCGCGUGCGGGAUGACGGCCUAAUGGUUGUAAACCGCUUUUCUCUGGGAAGAAGAUGACGGUACCAGAGGAAUAAGCCUCGGCUAACUCCGUGCCAGCAGCCGCGGUAAUACGGAGGAGGCAAGCGUUAUCCGGAAUUAUUGGGCGUAAAGCGUCCGUAGGUGGUUCAUCAAGUCAGCUGUUAAAGAGCGGAGCUCAACUCCGUCGGAGCGGUUGAAACUGGUGAACUAGAGUUUGGUAGGGGUCGAGGGAAUUCCCAGUGUAGCGGUGAAAUGCGUAGAUAUUGGGAAGAACACCGGUGGCGAAAGCGCUCGGCUGGGCCAAAACUGACACUGAGGGACGAAAGCUAGGGGAGCGAAAGGGAUUAGAUACCCCUGUAGUCCUAGCCGUAAACGAUGGGUACUAGGUGUUGCUCGCGAUCGACCCGAGCAGUGCCGUAGCUAACGCGUUAAGUAUCCCGCCUGGGGAGUACGCUCGCAAGAGUGAAACUCACAGGAAUUGACGGGGGCCCGCACAAGCGGUGGAGUAUGUGGUUUACUUCGAUGCAACGCGAAGAACCUUACCAGGGUUUGACAUCCCGCGAAUCUCUGUGACAGUGCAGAGUGCCUUCGGGAGCGCGGAGACCCGUGGUGCAUGGCUGUCGUCAGCUCGUG